AACGAACGCUGGCGGCAGGCUUAACACAUGCAAGUCGAGCGAGACCUUCGGGUCUAGCGGCGGACGGGUGAGUAACGCGUGGGAACGUGCCCUUCUCUACGGAAUAGCCCCGGGAAACUGGGAGUAAUACCGUAUACGCCCUUUGGGGGAAAGAUUUAUCGGAGAAGGAUCGGCCCGCGUUGGAUUAGGUAGUUGGUGGGAUAAUGGCCCACCAAGCCGACGAUCCAUAGCUGGUUUGAGAGGAUGAUCAGCCACACUGGGACUGAGACACGGCCCAGACUCCUACGGGAGGCAGCAGUGGGGAAUCUUAGACAAUGGGGGCAACCCUGAUCUAGCCAUGCCGCGUGAGUGAUGAAGGCCUUAGGGUUGUAAAGCUCUUUCAGCUGGGAAGAUAAUGACGGUACCAGCAGAAGAAGCCCCGGCUAACUCCGUG
rnacentral:rRNA from 1 species